GCGAAAGUGGCGGAAUUGGCAGACGCGCAGGAUUCAGGUUCCUGUGGUGGAAACACCGUGGGGGUUCAACUCCCCCCUUUCGCA
rnacentral:tRNA from 1 species